rnacentral:misc_RNA from 1 species
UGGUGUGCAUAGACAACUAUAUUUUACGUUUAUCUUAAAAGUAUGAGUUAGGUACGGAAGGUAAAAUAUACCUAUUGAGUUUCCAUGCAACAACCUAUUGUCCUUAAUUGCGUAACAUUUCUUUUUUCCUUUCAAACAGAAAGAAACCUCCAUUCAGUUAGCACAAGUGUCUCCAACAAAUAAAGGUAUUGAGAUCAGUGCUACAACUUGCUAAUAGGUGAACGUAACGCGCUUAUCUGCCCAUUGUUCAUAACCAAAAUCGCAGAUGCAAGAAUGUUCUGUGAAAAAACGAAGGCACCUCUGGAGCUGGGCCAAUGGCAGUACUCCCUGAAACAUAUGGACUCAGCCGUCGUGGAGAACCCUGCCGUGUCUAUAAACGAAGGUCAGGUGUAUGUGUACGAGAACUACUUUCCUGGUUACACGAUAAGGUACAUUCACGUGGACAACUUGGCGAUUAGAACCUGUGGGGCGAGUGCGUCGAUCAAAGCGGGCGGUGUGGGGGCUUCCUCCGUGCUCAUAGUUCUACGUGCAUACAUCAACCAGGAGAUCAGGUCCGUAAUCGAUAUAUGGGGAGAAAAGAAAGUGUCGAAUAACACAAACGCAUUGAACAACACUCAACUGAGUCUCAACCCUGAGGAAGUGAAGAAUAUAAACUAUAAUUAUUUAUUCAAAGACACGCGAGCUUUGAAUCACAAUAGACAAAAUUUACAUUAAACUAUAUUUAUUUUUCUAAUUUGAUGUACAGUUUUUAUUAAAUACUCUUUAUGAUAUUUGUUUUAUUUAUUCAUUGAAGUAUGCCUAUUUUGCAGUGUAGUUUAGGUAUUUUUGAUAGGUUCAUUCGUGCAUGAAAUAUAAGUGGAAAUGUUUGUGCAGGUGAGUCGGUUAACCCUAUCUACGAAAUCGUAAGAAGAACGAGAUUCCAAAAUACUACAAAACCUUCAGAAGAAAGUCACUUGUGGCUCCAAAGCGUUACAGUAGAUGUGAUCAUGUAGCUUAGUGAGCUAUGAAAGAGACUGUAGGUAUUCGGAAAUUUUCCAUGCCGGGACUAAAAUCCCCGUCAUAGCCCAGCGGGUA